CUGAGACCACAGCAGGAUGUGCCUUGGUCAAAGGCUUGGACUCUUGGAUCAUCUGGUGACUUCAGAAUUCUGGUCUCAGGGUGGUGAACUUUCUCUUUGAAUUCCUAACCUGUCAGCCUGUG